GAUGAAGAACGUAGCGAAAUGCGAUAAGUAAUGUGAAGUGCAGAAUUCAGUGAAUCAUCGAAUCUUUGAACGCACAUUGCGCCCAUUAGUAUUCUAGUGGGCAUGCCUGUUCGAGCGUCAUUAAGUCCACUUAAGCCCUGCUUAGUGUUGGGAGACUGCUCCAGCGGUGCUACCCUGUAGCUACCCUGCAGCUCCUCAAAGACAGCGGCGGAGUUGUGGUAUCCUCUGAGCUUAGUAACUUGUUCUAGCUUUCGAGUACACCACUUCCCCUGCCGUAAAACCCUUAAUUUUUAAUGGUUGACCUCGGAUCAGGUAGGAAUACCCGCUGAACUUAAGCAUAUCAAAAGCGGAGGA
rnacentral:misc_RNA from 1 species